rnacentral:misc_RNA from 1 species
AACGCACGAGACCUGCGGACCUGCGGAAGGAUCAUUACAGAAUUGUUCGAAUCCAUACGGACACAUUCUUAACAUCCGUAUCCACACCGGCAGGGCUUUCGGGCCUUUGCCGUAGGGUUCCUCUUUUCUCUUUCUCUGUUAGGGAAAGAGAGGGGGGUUCCUGUCUGACCUUUGCCUAUAAUUUUAAUUUUGUCUGAACUUUUAUUUUAUUAUAAAAUAAAAACAACUUUCAACAAUGGA